CGGACCAUCCCCUUUUCCCCCUUUGUCGCGUGCGGCCCAUUCCUCACUCGCCCUGCCUCACCGACGUGUGGGUCCUAGCGCUCCUCCUCUCUUGGUGUCUAUGGCAUGUGGGCCGUCUGGCCAGACCGUUUCAACACGCAAGGGCGCAAGCCUGUCGCGAGUCUUGUACACGCUGACAUGUGGGACCCGGUCGUCAUCACUAACCCCUCAAUCGAAGACACCACAACAGAAUAGCGGCGCCAGGUUUCUCGGUCGGGCCGCUCCAACCGCCGUUGCCCGGGUGUGCGGGUCAGACUCCAUGCUAUAAAGAGCUGAGCCCCGUACCCCUGGAACCCUUGGACCAUCUCUCGCCACCCAGAACAAGGUAACCUCGUCGCCAUCACCAUAGUUGUGGAGCACCGCCGCAGUUGGCGAGGUGAGAUCCCGCGGGGCCUCUUCAAUCCGAGUCUGGGGGUGGCAGGGUCCCUAGCGCAACCAAGUGGGUUCGGUUGUGGGGACCGGUGGCACGCGGAGUACCUCAGAGUGGCGGCAAUUGCUCGCCGAUGCAUGCCCUCUGGUGCGGACUACGCCUCUUCGUGGGCAGCGAACUCCACAUCUCUGACUUAGGUGAGACCCCUCUCCGCAUGUUCGCCAUCUUCCCCUCUAGGUUUAGCACCGGACAAUUUUAGGUUUGGGGUGUUUGGGCAUCGGAUUGCGUGUCCGCCGGCGAAGCUCCAUCGCGGCCUCGCGGGUAUGCCAUGCGGCGCUGUCGUGUUCUUCUGGGAUGGGAGAUAUGGUCACGUCAGUCGAUUGCUCGCUUAACGGCUGCAAUUAGAUCAAAUGUACCCCUUCGCGCAUAACGAUCCGGGUUGCCGAUUCUUGAUCAGGCGGUCAAAAUCAAAUCCGGAUAUCGGUUUGGGUAGGUGUAACAUAAGUCAUUCGAUUCAGAUCAAACGGGUGUGUGGAUGGGGGCCUAAUAAGAUCUCGGCCGUAGGUUUCUGAUCCGAUUGUCCACAUAGCAUACCGCUUCGAUUUAAGAAGGGUCUAAUCCAGGCCGUUGAAUCUGAUCGGGCAGUCAUAACCGAACCAUACCCCUUCGUCGUAGUAUUUUUGCAUAAGAGACCCUCGACUUUAAUCCAUUCAACCCGCCGUCCAUCCUUUCAUAAGGAAUAUUACGCAGGGAACCUAAAGUUAGCGAAAACAAACCUGAUCUUCCUAGAAACUAUGUGCCCAAUCCAGAAUUAUUAGGAAUACUCUGAAUUAAAUAAGAAAAUGGGUUUUUAGUGUAAAAUAAAUCUGGAAACUUGUUUAAUUCAUAUUAAAUCCAUUUUAGCUCCAAAUUGAUCAAUUCCGGUUGCUAUAAAUUCAUAUUAAUAUUGUUUAUCAUCUGAUAACCCUAUUUUGUUAUGAAACAUAGGUAGGAAUUAUGCACUUAAUUUCUUCUGUAUCCAACAUUUAAAUCUUCAGUAAAUCGUAACUCUGUAACCGUAACUUCGAUUUUAGCGAUUCUCGAACCCACGAUCUCGUAACAUCGCGUAGAAUAUUAUUAUGCAGUUUGUGCUUAUGUUUGGUGUGAUGUUAAUUUUUACCUAUUCCAUGUUUGUUUGUAUUGCUACGAAUAGCAGUGAGGUCACGACAAUCUGAAGAUCAUCCUGGUGCUUGGAAUCUUGAGUCUCACACAAGUUGUGCCCUUGAUCACUCUUUUUUUACCUAAUAAUGUUCGCUGUUAAUCACUGUGACAUGCUCAGGUUAAUUUGAUGGGACCUAAUAGGUUUUCCUAGCAUUGUUUAUCCCUCACCUUGCAAACAGAUGAACUAUUGGGUAGAUUUGUUAUCGCUCUACCUGGUUUUGGGAAACUAAUAUUUUAUUAUGAGCAUGUUCCAAUUAUGUUGUUGUUUAAUUAUUGUUAAUGAUAAGAUAAUAUUGUUAAUUGGAACAUGGAGAACCACCCGGGAAAACAGUGCUACCACAAGGGUGGUAUGGGACGCCCUUGGAUGACUAAUUACGAAAGCUAGUGGAGGACUACCUUACCCGAAAGGGGCAAGGGCGGUAGGGGAGUGGUCGUUGUAGGGAGGUUCUCGGGAUGAUUUUGCUGCGAUGGCGGUUAGACGAGGGAUUCCUACAUUGGGGCUUCCUCUGUAGCGGGUUUUAUGAAGCUAGUGGAACUUUGUAAAGGCGUCGUAGUGGUACCCUGCCUCUCUUCCUUGGUAGAGGUGUAUGGUAUCUGAUCAACUCCGUGGCAAAUGGGUAACAUGACUUGUGGGUAAAGAUGUGCAACCUCUGCAGAGUGUAAAACUGAUAUAUCAGCCGUGCUCACGGUCAUGAGCGGCUCAUACCCUCACAUGAGUAAUUUAUGGAAUUAAAGCUUAAUUUGUCAUAUGCAUUGCAUCGCGGGUGUUGUUAUCAAUUUUGAUCUAUUACUUAUUUGGGUUGGUAUCUACUUACACUUAGUAAAUGCUAAUAAAAUUUUGACCAACUGUAAAAGCAAUGCUCAACUUUAACCAUCCUCUUUGGUAAGCCUUACACUUGAGCUCCCACCUUUGGUGAGUUCAUGCACAUUAUUCCCCACAACUUGUUGAGCGAUGAACGUAUGUGAGCUCACCCUUGCUAUCUCACACCUCCCAGAGGUCAAGGACAGGUACCGCAAGAUGAGGCGCAUGGAGGAUGUUGUGAUGAGUUCGUGAGAGGUCUAGGUCGUCGUCUCCCAAUCAACUAUGGGC
rnacentral:lncRNA from 1 species